CCCUUAGAUGUUCUGGGCCGCACGCGCGCUACACUGAUGCAUUCAACGAGCCUAUCCUUGACCGACAGGUCCGGGUAAUCUUUGAAUCUGCAUCGUGACGGGGAUAGAUUAUUGCAAUUAUUAAUCUUGAACGAGGAAUGCCUUGUAAACGCGAAUCAUCAGUUCGCAUUGAAUACGUCCCUGCCCUUUGUACACACCGCCCGUCGCACCUACCGAUUGAAUGUUUCGGUGAAGACUCGGGAUUGCGCCAAUGUCGUUUAUUCGGCGCUGGCGUGAGAACUUGUCUAAACCUCAACAUUUAGAGGAAGGUGAAGUCGUAACA
rnacentral:rRNA from 1 species